rnacentral:rRNA from 1 species
GACGAACGCUGGCGGCGUGCUUAACACAUGCAAGUCGAACGGAAAGGCCCUGCUUUUGUGGGGUGCUCGAGUGGCGAACGGGUGAGUAACACGUGAGUAACCUGCCCUUGACUUUGGGAUAACUUCAGGAAACUGGGGCUAAUACCGGAUAGGAGCUCCUGCUGCAUGGUGGGGGUUGGAAAGUUUCGGCGGUUGGGGAUGGACUCGCGGCUUAUCAGCUUGUUGGUGGGGUAGUGGCUUACCAAGGCUUUGACGGGUAGCCGGCCUGAGAGGGUGACCGGCCACAUUGGGACUGAGAUACGGCCCAGACUCCUACGGGAGGCAGCAGUGGGGAAUAUUGCACAAUGGGCGGAAGCCUGAUGCAGCAACGCCGCGUGCGGGAUGACGGCCUUCGGGUUGUAACCCGCUUUCGCCUGUGACGAAGCGUGAGUGACGGUAAUGGGUAAAGAAGCACCGGAUAACUACGUG